rnacentral:lncRNA from 1 species
AUUAGGUGACCAAACCUCUUCUUGUCAGAACUUCUAGAUAUCGUUAAUAUUACAAAUAAUAAUAUUAAUGACUUUGUCGUCUCAAUUAUUGAUUUAAUAAUGUAUAAAAAUAUCAACAAUAAUUGAAUCAAAUAACAUGAGAUACUAUGCAGCAAUUACUGUAACAAUAAUUGAAUAAAACUGAGUGACUUCUCACGUAAGCAUCAAUAAUCAAAACAGUGUGCUACUGUGCAACUACGCGUAUUACUGUACUUUUAACACCGGGUGUUUCAACAGUUAACGGUAAAACUUCCGCCGUUAUUUUCAUAAAGUAUUUUUAUCGUUUUCUCAAUCCGAUAAUAAUUCCGUUGUGGGGUCCACCAAUGAUUGUGUUGUUGUACGAAUAUUCUCUGUUAAAACGAAUAUUCCCCGACCAAUCGAAUAUUAUAUAACAACUUGCAUACUUUGCAAAAUUUAUAAAUAUUACCACAACUAUAACAUUAUAUCAAAUUUACUCCAUAAUAUUCAAAAAUGAUAUUUAAAGAAAAUUCAUUUUUUUUCAUAAAAGUUGGGGUCUUACAAUGCCAAUUAAAGGUCUGUGUAGGAUCAAUAUGGUACGACUUUGUGAAAUGACAAUUAAAAGUGGAAGAGGAAAAAGAAAAGGAAGAUGUGGUGAAAAGUGGAAGAGGAAGAGGUAAAGGAAGAUACGGGGGCUUGGGGGGGGGGGGUUAGGAGGAAGAACAUAACGUUUGAUAAGACCAAUUUCUAAAUAACCGAGUUAACUCACCGAUGUUUCAAAUGGAAAAGAAUGAUUUUUCAAAUUGAAUUAAUUUGAUUAGGUCAAUUUACGUCAUUAAUGUACGUCUUUUUAUAUAUAAUACUCCAUCCGUCCUAAUUUCCUUUUCAGGAUACAAUAAAUGUCAUAUUUCUAUAUUAGUAACUAUUUUUAUCUUAUUUUUUCACUUAUACCCUCAUAAUAUUUUUAGUCAACUUUUGUUGGAAACUUAAAAAAUAAUAAAAGAUUUACAUUGGAAAGUGAUGUAUUGUUAUACCACUUUCCCUCUCAUAUUAUCAUUAUAGCACCUCUUCUAUGUAGUGUGAGAAUAACAACAAAAAUGAUAAGUAGCUAAAAAUCAAUACCAACAAAAGAUAUCUAUGUAAUUAGUGGGUGGGUUUGGUGAGAGAAAUAUAUUUAUUGGAAUGUGAGAAUAACAAUAAAAAUGAUAUAGAGAACUGAUUCGUGUAGGAACUAGUAAGAAAUAAUUAAUGUUGGGGUGUAAAAUCCCAAAUUUUACGAAUAAAGAUUUAAUUUUCUCGAAAUAUUUUUUUCAAAAUUAUGGUGUAGAUUUGAGAUAAUAUUAUAGUUGUGGGUAAUAUUUAUAAAUUUUGAAAAGUAUGCAAGUUGUUGUAUAAUAUUCGAUUGGUCAGGGAAUAUUCGUUUUAAUAGAGAAUAUUCGUAUGACGACACAAUCAUUGGUGGACCCCACAACGGAAGUAUUGUCGUAGUAAGAAAAUGACAAAAUUAUCUUUUUAUAAAAAUAACGGUGGAAGUGUUACUGUUAAAACUGUUGAACUACCCGGUAGUAAAAGUACAGUAAUACGCGUGGUUGCAUAGUAGCACACGGUAUUUUGAUACUUAUGUGAGAAGUCACUCAGUUAUACUCAAUUAUUGCUACAGUAAUUGCUGCAUCAUAUCUCUCAUAUUAUUGAUUCAAUUAUUGUCACAGUAUCAUCUGCAUAAUAUGUUAUAUUAUUAAAUCAAUAAUUGAG